rnacentral:lncRNA from 1 species
CAGACCCUGCUGGGAAUGUAGCUCGCGCAGUUUUCUUCGUACUAUUAAUUUAUUUCUUUUUUUUGUUUUUGGUUUUUUUUUUUUAAAUGACUGUAGCAGGCAGUAACGUGCGAAAGAAAGACGCUCCAGCGUCUUCCUAGGCCAGUUUCUUGUUGCUGUGCUGCACGGGACCCAGCUCCUUUUGCUGGGCCACGUGUUGCUCCUCCGCUUGGGCGGCCCUGAAUUCUGGGCGCUGGUGAUCGCUGAGUGAAUCGCAGCUGCUUCCCUGUCCUUGAGGGCGUCUUUUGGGCACUCAGGCGACUCUUUAGAAAUGAGUUUUGCUUUAAUAAUUAAUAUUAACGUUAUAAAUCCAAAACCUAGUUAUACUUAAGUAGCGUAUCCCCUGGUAUGUUUUAAAGAGUCAUUCGAAGGGGAUUUUUAAAAAUAAUGUAUAGCUAUAAACUGCAUUUAUACAUUUAAUUGUUAUUUUGUUAAGCGAUUGAGUUACUUGACAAAAUCCAAGUACAUAGUUCACUCACAAAUCUAAUAUGUCAAACCUAAAUGUGGUUGGUAAAUCUUACUCUCAUAAUUUCAAUAUGGUUUACAGAUGUGGUUGAAUUCUGUUACACAUGUCUACUUACGAGUCAGAAUCGUUAUUCCAUUUAAUAUUUUAAAAUGGAAUUGCCAAGUUAAUCCAUACAUUAGCAUGUUAAAUUAUUUUAACCGUCGUGAAUACAUCAAAAUAGACGAUUCCAAAAUGUAAUGGAAAAUACUAAUGCUAAUACUUCAAUUUACUUCAUUAUUUCUGCCCUUAAUCCUGAAUCUUCCUGGAGUUACAGGUGCUUAUCCACUAAACCAGGGGUUUUCAAGCAAGAAGUCAGAAUGCAUUAAUGGACAGCAUUUAAAAAAAUAGGAUUGGGUGG